GGGGGUGUGAUCUUUGGCAUUUAUUUGAAAAAUUUAGAGUAUAAGCAAAGUUCCAUUUCAGUAGUUAAGCUGAUUUACCCACAACCCAUCAGUCAAUGGAAUCCCACAGAUGUCAAACUGCAGACAUCAUGGACAGAGGAAACAAAAUGGAGGCGCCCAGGUAUUAAGAUCCGGCACACGGAAGAGUAAGUAAUAAAUACGAACGUGGCAAUGGUGCAAUAAUCAUAAGGGCUUGUUUUACUAUAAGAACAGUGAGGACAUGGAAUUCGCUGCUUGAAGAGGUGGUUUUAUCAGAGUUUGUAC